ACACCAGGUAGCAGUGAAGGCCCCAGGGUUAUCAAGAUGCAUCUGCCUUCUGUGCAGGGCAGGGAAGGGCCAGCCAGCAUUUUCUUAAAGCCCAGAUGUUACCAGCCUUGCCUUCGUAGACCAUCCUGACUCUGUUGAAAUACCCAGUUCUGUCUUUAGAGCAAAGAAACAGCCAUAGAUGAUGGUCCUCCAUCCCUCCCUUGAGACCCUGUUGACUGACUGAGCUGCCUUGGUCAGAUAAGCAAGGGAUGGUUAUCUUCCCAUCCCUUAUGAGUGAGUUUUAAAUGCCUCACAUAACGUCGUGCAGAUGCUAUCCUGUGUUUGUCUUAUGUAAGUGAGCACAAUCAGGAAAUGGAGCCCGGAUCCAUUUCCUGCACAUCCCUGCCCUCGGCAUUUAUCUAUUCCGUCUAAGGUGCAGAAACAGCUAGAUGUCUACUGAUGCGUCCUCACGACUGGAGGAGCAGAACCAAUUUAGUUCCUGGAACAACUGCAAGCCAACUAUCAGACAAAGCCGCCUGUGACUCCCAAUUGACCCCCCUUGACUCCUAACCACCCCCCACUUGGAAAGAUCCGGAUGGUCCACUGAUCAUGAGUCAGUUUGAGGAUUGCUUUGCCCCACCAAUAGUACCCUGCUUAGUUACCAUUGUUCAAAUUCUGCCCUAAUUGUUUGAAUUCCAUCCUUAUUAAAGGUAUAUAACUCCCUGUUAGAGUUUGCUCAGGGUUGUCUCCCCCUUGAAGUGGGAAAGGCCCCAACAUGUUGGAACAAUAAAACUCCUCUUGCUUUUGCAUCGAUCACUGCCUCUGUGAGUCUCAUUUAAGAAGUUGUAGAAGAGGUUUAAUUCAGACCUCAUAUUUGGUGCAUUGGCCUGGAAGCUCACCUCUUGUGGAGGACCUACAGGAGGACAAUGGGUCAGAGGAAUGGCUCCAGCAGGUAUGGUGGUUGUGUGUGUCUCCUCUAUCUAGUUUUUUUGUUUGUGUUUUGCUUUCGGUUUGGUUUAUGCUUGCAAGCGUCAGGAAGGCUCAGAGAACCUCAGUAACUAGAGAGAGGCUUGGAGGACGCUCCAGCCUUUCAGACUCCAGUUCCAGCAUGAGCGAUGGGGUCACCAUAGCAACUGGGGAGGGGUUUGGACACUCAGCCUCAUUGGGUCUGGUUCCUGUGUGAGCCGAUGGGGUCGCCAGGACUUUGGUUCCAGCUUAAGGCAACAAAGUCACCAGAUCUGUAUUUCACCCAUGGCAGGGGCAAGCCUGUGUGUCUUUUGCCCAUGGCAGGGGCAGAGUCUGUGUGUAAUGUGUGUGAAUUUUGCCCAUGACAGGGACAGAUUGUCUGAGUUGUUCUGUCAUUGGCAAGGAUUGUCUUCCUUGUGUCUCUUUGUGUCAUUCGACUUGGACUGACAUUAUUUUUGGACGUGGGAAAGAAUGUUUUUCACCUUAAUCUUAUUCUGAUUCAUUUUUAAAAAGUUAGGACUAAGGACUACUUAAUGCAACUUGGAGUGACCUGCCUUUGAUGUUAAAUGGCCACCUGGAGUGAGACCUUUUAUCUCCCCAGGGUGUCAGCAGUAGAGGAUAAAAUGUUUCAGAAGUUUUCCCUCCUCGCCCUUGCUAAUACC
rnacentral:sRNA from 1 species